rnacentral:rRNA from 1 species
GCGUGGAGGAUGAAAGUUUUCGAAUUGUAAACUCCUGUCCAGAGGGACGAAGACAGUGACGGUACCUCUGGAGGAAGCCCCGGCUAACUCCGUGCCAGCAGCCGCGGUAAUACGGGGGGGGCAAGCGUUGUUCGGAAUUACUGGGCGUAAAGGGCGCGUAGGCGGUUUCGGAAGUUAUGGGUGAAAGCCCCCGGCUCAACUGGGGAAUUGCCUGUAAAACCACGGGACUGGAGUGCUGGAGAGGGAAGUGGAAUUCCCAGUGUAGCGGUGAAAUGCGU